AUAAANGACUCUCGGCAACGGAUAUCUCGGCUCACGCAUCGAUGAAGAACGUAGCAAAAUGCGAUACUUGGUGUGAAUUGCAGAAUCCCGUGAACCAUCGAGUUUUUGAACGCAAGUUGCGCCCGAAGCCAUUCGGCCGAGGGCACGUCUGCCUGGGCGUCACG
rnacentral:rRNA from 1 species